rnacentral:lncRNA from 1 species
AUCAAACAACAAGUACUUGGAUUGGUCAUGAACAUAUUUGAUUCUUUUCUAACCAAUAUUUAAUUCAAUUUAAUCAACUGCUCAAACUAGAUCUAAUUGAGCUACCCACAUCCUGAACCCAUGUGUUAUGAAAUUGACUUAGAUCUUGAAUUCUCAAUUUUUAGAUCUGUUAAAUUUUAUUUCUUAAAUUUUAAUUAAGUCCAUGGAUCCUAAUUAGAUGUCCAAACAAUUUGAACUUAAUUGUAUCAUAUACAAAAAGCCAUUGGAUGGUUCCACUGUCGACAUCCUGAUCUGACUCAAGAUCAAUUUCUGAAGGAUGGAGUGGACAAAGGAUGGCCAGAAACUGAGGCCAAAGACCUCAUCAUUCCCUCUACCGCCCAUCUGGACCUCAGCCAACUGGUGCUCGAUCUUGUGGAUCUUCUGCUCGAGAUCCUCUGUCCGACAAGAUCGUUGGGGUGAAUUGCCCAUCGUCGAGUCUCUACCAAAAGAAAUGGGGGAUCGUCGGCAUCUUCUGCCAUGGACAGACCAACAGCAGGAUGGCAAUCAUUGAUCAACUCAGGUCAAUUGGUGGUUCCUCAAGGAGGUUUCUCUAAGACUGAAGAUUGAUC